rnacentral:lncRNA from 1 species
UCAUAAAAGCUCGAGAUCAAGCCAGGCCCCUGCAUAUAAUCUCACGGCAACUCCAAACCAUCUUAUAGCAUCUGGUUAUGUAUAUUUUUAUAUGAUUAUACGAUUAAUGUCUGCUCCUUCUUCUAGCUCCACAAAGGCAGGACUGUGUCCCGCUGACAGCCCAUGUGAACCUUGUCACCAUGGUUCAUGUGCAUGGAAGGUGCUAGAAAAUAGCCAUCAAAUGAAGGACAAGGAGAAUGGCUGGGGACAGCUCUGCCAACAUCUUCUUGCUUUGGUGAUGACAAAACUAAAAAAUGGGGUGAUGUCGUGCAUCAGGAUUAGCGCCUCAAUUUAUUGCCGGCUCAAGCUCCACACAUACUCCAUGACAGGGUGUUGUCCGCAUCCCCGAAAGUUCCAGGAAGGAGACAGUGUUUGCUGAGUGGUGGGCUUUAGAUAUUCAGCAGUGUGGUUGGCUUUUAUGGGCUGAGAAUGUGUGUGCGUGUGAGCGCAUGCGUGCUCGUGCAUGCUGGUGUUGGGCCUGGGGCACGGUGUUGUUUGAAAGGCGCAGGGAACAGACACUUUGUACUCAGAUGCAUCAAUUUCCAAUGGCAGCAGAAUGCUGUUUCUGUUUGAAAGAGAAAGAAGAAAGCGAAAUCUUCAUUUCAGCUUAGGAAUGGGGCCCACAUGUUUAGCUCAAAGUGAGUGGAAAUCUCUGAAAAGCAGGUUUGGGCUAAUGAAUGUCAGCAGGCCUUCAAUGUAAAUGGGAUUUGAUUAGCAGCAAGGAGUGUGGUUGGGAUGUUUCCAUUACCAAAGAAUGAUAUAGAGGGGCAAGGCUUGUCUUAAGGGGAUGAAGAAGGUCCCUCCAGCUGCCCAAGUAGAUCCAUUUCCAGUAGGCUUUCAGACGCUCAGAAAACAUGGGGCUGACCUUGGCUUCUACCACAUGCCACGGGGCACGAGACCAUUGCUCCAGACAAGUAAACCUGAGGUGGGGGGAGGUGGCAGAGCUGCGACUGGACACCACGAAUGAAAUAUUCUACAAUACAAAACAUGCCACAUCAGUCCUCAACAUUGCCUUGCCUCUAU